rnacentral:misc_RNA from 1 species
GAUGAAGAACGAAGCGAAAUGCGAUACGUAAUGUGAAUUGCAAAUUCAGUGAAUCAUCGAGUCUUUGAACGCACAUUGCGCCCCCUGGUAUUCCGGGGGGCAUGCCUGUCCGAGCGUCAUUGCUGCCCUCAAGCACGGCUUGUGUGUUGGGCCCCGUCCUCCGAUCCCGGGGGACGGGCCCGAAAGGCAGCGGCGGCACCGCGUCCGGUCCUCGAGCGUAUGGGGCUUUGUCACCCGCUCUGUAGGCCCGGCCGGCGCUUGCCGAUCAACCCAAAUUUUUUAUCCAGGUUGACCUCGGAUCAGGUAGGGAUACCCGCUGAACUUAAGCAUAUCAAUAAGCGGAGGA